rnacentral:rRNA from 1 species
UACAGAGGUGGCAAGCGUUGUUCGGAAUUACUGGGCGUAAAGGGCGCGUAGGCGGCCAUCUAAGUCAGACGUGAAAUCCCCCGGCUUAACCUGGGAACUGCGUCUGAUACCGGACGGCUAGAGUAUGGGAGAGGGAUGUAGAAUUCCAGGUGUAGCGGUGAAAUGCGUAGAUAUCUGGAGGAACACCGGUGGCGAAGGCGGCGUUCUGGACUGUUACUGACACUGAGGAACGAAAGCCAGGGGAGCAAACGGG